rnacentral:lncRNA from 1 species
GCAGCAAGGCCCCUCCACGAGAUCCUCCUGCUGCCCAGCUGCCUGGAGGAGGCGAAGGCCAUCUUCCCCCAGCUCUUCCUGGCCCUCCUCGUCCAAGCGUCCUUCACCACGGAGCUGACGCUGCAGGAGGUGCAGGUCUUCCGCAAGAAGCACCGGCAGGACCUGCUCACUCCCAUCAGGUGCCACAUCCCCGUCCCCUGCUGCUCAGAGGAACCCAGGGCUGGGGCUCCCGGCGUGACCCGGGCCCUUCUCUGCCCGCAGGUCCACGGUGCAGUCUGAAAGCGCUGCUCCGCAGCGUGGGCCUGGGGAGCCAGGUGCUGGCCAUCGAGGCGCAGGGUGGCUGGGCCGCGCUUCUCAGCGCCGAGAGCCACCUCUGGGGCGUGCAGGUGGUGGCCAGGUGAGAGCCCCUUGUCGGCACCAUCCCCUUCCUGGGGGGGGGUCCCUGGGUCUUGGAGAAAGUGCUGCCACAGCAUGGGUGCCCGUGGCCGCUGGGGUGGUGGCGAGAGCGGUGCAAAGCCAGGAGAGCUGUGCCCGCCCGGCUCGGGGCUGACGGCGCCUGCUUGCCGUUUUCCCUGCCAGGGAAAUGAAGGAGUUGCCCGGAAGCCUGCGCGCCACCAUCAUCCGCCUGCUGGCCGAGCUGCUCAGCACGGAGGACUCCUCCUGGGAGCUGGUGGCCAUGGUCUUCCUCAGCGAGAUGCUGGAGUGCACAGACCUCGGCAACGAGCUGGACUGCGUCGUGAGCCUCUUUGCCACCUACCUGCGGAGCCAGUGCCUGGGCAUGCAGAGCCUGGUGCUCAGGGCGAUCCUGGGGCUCACCCAGAGGCCGGACACGGCAAGGCAAACACUCGUCCUGCUGCCGAGCAUCACAGAGCAGCUGCAGGGUGCAGACAGCGACACCCGCACUGUCGCUCUGCCCGUGCUCAGCACCAUGCUGCGGCUCCUGGAGGGGAGGACGCUCAGCCUCACGGCUCUGGAGCUGGCCGGCAAGCUCCCAUCACUCUUUGACGACGUAAGGCUGCGUCCCCAUGCCUGCGUCCCUGUGACACCCCACUGUGGGCUCUCCCUGCCCGGUUCCCAGCCCUGGGCGCUGCGUGCCCUUGGGCAGACUUUCGGCAGGCCACAGCUUGCUCACUUUUGGGGGCCGUCCUCAAGGUGUGCCCUCUGCCUCUUGGCUCGGAGACUUUGCCCCCACUUUGUCGGUCGUGCUGGCCCUGCUUGCGGAGGGCUUGGAGCCACCGGGACUGAUGUCCCCCUCUCCUCCUCCCCAGGAGUCAAGCGCAGUGCGGGUUCUCUCUAUUCGCCUCCUCCUCGACACGCUGGGCUUUGUGGAGGGCAGCGAAAAGAAGAAGAUGCAGAAGGAGGUGUGCAGGAGCCUUGUCCCGCUGUCCUUCCACCUGCACGACCAGGACGAGAGCGUGGCCGAGGCCUCCCGCGAAGCCCUCCUUGGUGUCGCGCGGUUCCUGCGCUGGAGGCAGCUGGCGCACCUGGCCGAGACGGUGCAGACGUGUAA